GGGGGGGUAGCCCGUAGCAGUCGGCCCGCGAGAUUCAGCCCGGCGCGGUCCGGGGUCGGCUCGGGGGACGUCCGCGAUCCUUUGGACGCGCGCCUCCGAGGCCGGCUCGACACCGGGUGCACUUUCCGCGGGCAGAGAGUCUCGAUCGGCCGGCGGGCGACCAGGCGGCCCGGGGCAAGUCAGGCGCGGCGGGAAAGGGGGGGUUCGCCCUUCUUCUCUUCGUCGCGCCGUUGUCAGGCCCCGGGAAAGAAGGCUCGCUUUGUACCGGCCGAGGAACUGCGGCCCCGCGCGGCUGCGGGCCCACGCGUCGGAGUCACGACUGAGAGGGACCGGGCAACCGUGCCUCUCGACCGCUCCGGCGUGAACGGCGCCCGCGCACGCUGCCGGGGAUGCCAGGAUCAGAGGCCGAUCGGUCGGCGACCCACCCGACCCGUCUUGAAACACGGACCAAGGAGUCUAACGUGCGCGCGAGUCGUCGAGUCGUACGAAACUCGAAGGCGCAGUGAAAGCGAGGGAGGUCCUCCGGACUUCCCAGGCGAGAUCCCCCGGCCCGCGCCGGGGGCGCACCGCCGGCCCGUCUCGCGGUCGUCGGACCUGAGGCGGAGCUAGAGCGCGCGCGCUGGGACCCGAAAGAUGGUGAACUAUGCCUGGGCAGGACGAAGCCAGAGGAAACUCUGGUGAAAGUCCGCAGCGAUUCUGACGUGCAAAUCGAUCGUCGAAUCUGGGUAUAGGGGCGAAAGACUAAUCGAACCAU
rnacentral:rRNA from 1 species